GGAGGUUUGGCAGAGUGGUCGAUUGCGGCGGUCUUGAAAACCGUUGGGCGCGAAAGCGUCCCCAGGGUUCGAAUCCCUGAGCCUCCGCCA
rnacentral:tRNA from 1 species